rnacentral:rRNA from 1 species
UACAGAGGGUGCGAGCGUUGUUCGGAAUUAUUGGGCGUAAAGGGCGCGUAGGCGGUGCGGUAAGUCACCUGUGAAAUCUCCUGGCUCAACUGGGAGUCUGCAGGCGAAACUGCCGUGCUGGAGUGUGGGAGAGGUGAGUGGAAUUCCCGGCGUAGCGGUGAAAUGCGUAGAUAUCGGGGAGGAACACCUGUGGCGAAAGCGGCUCACUGGACCACAACUGACGCUGAGGCGCGAAAGCUAGGGGAGCAAACAGG